rnacentral:lncRNA from 1 species
GUCAUUUAUCAGAAGCCUGUGUCAAAAACAGGGUCGGUUGAUAAUUUUUUUUUUUUUUUUUUGAAAGAUCCAAUAUAAAAGUUAAGGUCGGGGCUAAAAAACAGGGUCGGUCAGGUUACCUGAAACACAGAUCUUUUUUUUCUCGGCCCAAGGAGAGUUGUUCAAAUAAUGUGAAUACACAGAACCCCCAUCCAAUUACGGUUAUUUUUGGAAAACAAAUAGUGUGUUUUGUCAAAUUCAGCUGAUUUUUUAAUCUUCUGGAAAAAAGUGUACAUUUUAUGAGGGGGGAUAAUCCCGAGCUUAAAAACACCCGAUCCCGGAGUCCCGAUAAAGGUCCUAUCCCCCUCUUUUAUGGUCAUGUCUAAGAAUUACUGUUUAAUCUUCAUUUGGCAAGAAUACUUCAAUAAGAUACCCCCAUUUCUACCGUCAUACAUGUAUAUGGACAGAUCAUAUGUUAUCCUAUGUCAUUUGAAAUUGUGAUGCCAAAAUGCAUUCCACCCCCCCCCCCCCCCUUCUUCAUAACGACCAUCUUUUCUUGACCAUCUUAAAUGAAAAAGUUGAGAUGUAAAACUAUGCUUGAAACACGCGUGUCACUCAAACGACUUUAAAGUAG